UACGUAGGGCGCAAGCGUUAUCCGGAAUUAUUGGGCGUAAAGAGCUCGUAGGCGGUUUGUCGCGUCUGCCGUGAAAGUCCGGGGGCUCAACUCCGGAUCUGCGGUGGGUACGGGCAGACUAGAGUGAUGUAGGGGAGACUGGAAUUCCUGGUGUAGCGGUGAAAUGCGCAGAUAUCAGGAAGAACACCCGUGGCUAAGGCGGCUCUCUAGUACGGUACUGACGCUGAGACGCGAAGCGUGGGGAGCGAACAGG
rnacentral:rRNA from 1 species